rnacentral:rRNA from 1 species
CCUACGGGAGGCAGCAGUGAGGAAUAUUGGUCAAUGGACGAGAGUCUGAACCAGCCAAGUAGCGUGAAGGAUGACUGCCCUAUGGGUUGUAAACUUCUUUUAUAUGGGAAUAAAACGUUCCACGUGUGGGAUUUUGUAUGUACCAUAUGAAUAAGGAUCGGCUAACUCCGUGCCAGCAGCCGCGGUAAUACGGAGGAUCCGAGCGUUAUCCGGAUUUAUUGGGUUUAAAGGGAGCGUAGGUGGAUUGUUAAGUCAGUUGUGAAAGUUUGCGGCUCAACCGUAAAAUUGCAGUUGAUACUGGCAGUCUUGAGUACAGUAGAGGUGGGCGGAAUUCGUGGUGUAGCGGUGAAAUGCUUAGAUAUCACGAAGAACUCCGAUUGCGAAGGCAGUUCACUGGACUGCAACUGACACUGAUGCUCGAAAGUGUGGGUAUCAAACAGGAUUAGAUACCCGUGUAGUC